UACCAGCACCCCGAGUGGUCGGGACGAUUAUUGGGCCUAAAGCAUCCGUAGCCGGUUCUGCAAGUCCCCCGUUAAAUCCAGCUGCUCAACAGAUGGGCCGCGGAGGAUACUACAGAGCUAGGAGGCAGGAGAGGCAAGCGGUACUCGAUGGGUAGGGGUAAAAUCCGUUGAUCCAUUGAAGACCACCAGUGGCGAAGGCGGCUUGCCAGAACGCGCUCGACGGUGAGGGAUGAAAGCUGGGGGAGCAAACCGG
rnacentral:rRNA from 1 species